CACGUAGGGCGCAAGCGUUGUCCGGAAUUAUUGGGCGUAAAGAGCUCGUAGGUGGUUUGUUACGUCUGCUGUGAAAACCUAGGGCUUAACCCUGGGCUUGCAGUGGAUACGGGCAGACUAGAGGUAGGUAGGGGAGAAUGGAAUUCCUGGUGUAGCAGUGAAAUGCGCAGAUAUCAGGAGGAACACCGGUGGCGAAAGCGGCUCACUGGACCACAACUGACGCUGAGGCGCGAAAGCUAGGGGAGCAAACAGG
rnacentral:rRNA from 1 species